rnacentral:tRNA from 1 species
UCCUUCGUGGUGUAACGGUAGCACACUCGACGCGUAUUCGAGAGGUCCAGGUUCGAGUCCCGGCGUUGGCG